CCUGUUUACCAAAAACAUCACCUCUAGCAUAACAAGUAUUAGAGGCAUUGCCUGCCCAGUGACUAAAGUUAAACGGCCGCGGUAUCCUGACCGUGCAAAGGUAGCAUAAUCACUUGUUCCUUAAUUAGGGACUAGAAUGAAUGGCUAAACGAGGGUUCAACUGUCUCUUACUUUCAAUCAGUGAAAUUGACCUUCCAGUGAAGAGGCUGGAAUACUACAAUAAGACGAGAAGACCCUAUGGAGCUUUAAUUUACUAGUUUAAUUUAUAUAAUAACAACCUAAUGGACCAAGACAAAAUAAAUAUAAACUAAAAAAUUUCGGUUGGGGUGACCUCGGAGAAUAGAAAAUCCUCCGAAUGAUUUUAACCUAGACCUACAAGUCAAAGUAAUAUUAAUAUCUUAUUGACCCAAUUAUUGAUCAACGGACCAAGUUACCCUAGGGAUAACAGCGCAAUCCUAUUUAAGAGUUCAUAUCGACAAUUAGGGUUUACGACCUCGAUGUUGGAUCAGGACAUCCCAAUGGUGCAGAAGCUAUUAAUGGUUCGUU
rnacentral:rRNA from 1 species